UACAACUGGUGGCGACCGGCGCACGGGUGAGUAACGCGUAUGCAACCUACCUAUCAGAGGGGAAGUAACCCGGCGAAAGUCGGACUAAUACCGCAUAAAACAGGGGCACCGCAUGGUGAUAUUUGUUAAAGAAAUUCGCUGAUAGAUGGGCAUGCGUUCCAUUAGGUAGUUGGUGAGGUAACGGCUCACCAAGCCGACGAUGGAUAGGGAACUGAGAGGUUGGUCCCCCACACUGGUACUGAGACACGGACCAGACUCCUACGGGAGGCAGCAGUGAGGAAUAUUGGUCAAUGGGCGGGAGCCUGAACCAGCCAAGUCGCGUGAAAGGGAAGAAGGAUCUAUGGUUCGUAAACUUCUUUUGCAGGGGAAUAAAGUGCAGGACGUGUCCUGUUUUGUAUGUACCCUGAGAAUAAGGAUCGGCUAACUCCGUGCCAGCCGCAGC
rnacentral:rRNA from 1 species